CCUACGGGUGGCAGCAGUGGGGAAUAUUGGGCAAUGGGCGCAAGCCUGACCCAGCAACGCCGCGUGAAGGAAGAAGGCUUUCGGGUUGUAAACUUCUUUUGUCAGGGAAGAGUAGAAGACGGUACCUGACGAAUAAGCCACGGCUAACUAAGUGCCAGCAGCCGCGGUAAUACGUAGGUGGCAAGCGUUGUCCGGAUUUAAUGGGUGUAAAGGGCGUGUAGCCGGGUUGACAAGUCAGAUGUGAAAUCCUGCGGCUUAACCGCAGAACUGCAUUUGAAACUGUUGAUCUUGAGUACUGGAGAGGCAGACGGAAUUCCUGGUGAAGCGGUGAAAUGCGUAGAUAUUAGGAGGAACACCAGUGGCGAAGGCGGUCUGCUGGACAGCAACUGACGGUGAGGGGCGAAAGCGUGGGGAGCAAACAGGAUUAGAUACCCCUGUAGUC
rnacentral:rRNA from 1 species